GAAAUUUUAAGUUAAACAAACUAUUAAUUUUCAAAAUUAAAAAUAAUAAAAAUUAAAUUUCA
rnacentral:tRNA from 1 species